rnacentral:rRNA from 1 species
UACGUAGGGGGCUAGCGUUGUCCGGAAUCAUUGGGCGUAAAGGGCGUGUAGGCGGUCCGGUCAGUCCGCUGUGAAAGUCGGGGGCUCAACCCUCGAAUGCCGGUGGAUACUGUCGGGCUAGAGUGCGGAAGAGGCGAGUGGAAUUCCUGGUGUAGCGGUGAAAUGCGCAGAUAUCAGGAGGAACACCUAUUGCGAAGGCAGCUCGCUGGGACGUUACUGACGCUGAGACGCGAAAGCGUGGGGAGCAAACAGG